CGUUUGUCUGUUAUUGGUGUAUAAGAAUGCUUGUGAUUUUUGCACAUUGGUUUUGUAUCCUGAGACUUUGCUGAAGUUGCUUAUCAGCUUAAGGAGAUUUUGGGCUGAGAUGAUGGGGUUUUCUAGAUACACAAUCAUGUCAUCUGCAAACAGGGACAAUUUGACUUCCUCUUUUCCUAAUUGAAUGCCACUCAUUUUUAAACAUUUAGAUUAUUUUAUUGUUUUUGUAAUUCUAAACAUCUUGUACCUAACAUUUAUAUAAAGAAAAUGCAUCCUAUAUAUAUUAUUUCAAAUGCUAGACAUAUAAAGCUCAAUAACCUAAAAAGCUUCUGCACAGCAAAUGAAACAAUAGAGUGAAGAGACAACCUCUUGAAGGGGAAAAAAUUUGCAAAUUACUUGUUCCGCAUGGAAUAUCCAAAAUGUACAAGGAAUUCCAACAACUCAACAGAAAAAAAAUCCCACUAAAAAAUGGGCAAAAGGGCAAAAGACAUGAAUAGACAUUUCUCAAAGAAGACAUACAAACAGCCAGCAGGUAUAUGAAAAAAUGCUCAGCAUCAGUAAUCUCCAGGGAAAUGCAAAUCAAAACCGCAAUGAGCUAUCAUCUCACCCCAGUUCGAAUGGCUAUUAUCAAAAAGACAAAAUUUAACAGAUGAUGGCAAGGAUGUGCUGAAAAGGGAACUCAUACACUGUUAGUGAGAAUGUAAACUAGUACAGCCACUGUGGAAAACAGUAUUAAGAUUUCUCAAAAAACUAAAAAGAGGCCUACUAUACAGUCCAGUAAUCUCACUGCUAGGUAUUGAUUAUCCAAAGGAAAAUAAAUCAGCAUAUCAAAGAGAUGUCUGUACUCACAUGCUUAUUGCAAAGAUAUGGAAUCAACGUGUCAUCAGUGAACAAACGCAUUUAAAAUGUGGUAUAUAUGCACAAUGAAAUAUUCAGCCAUAAAGAGCGCAGUCAUGUCAUGUGCAGCAAUAUGAAUAGAACUGAAGGUCAUUAUGUGUAAGUGGAAUAACCUAAGCACGGAAAGACAAAUACUGCCUGCCUUCCCUCACAUGUGGGGACUAAAAAUCUUGAUCUUAUGGAUACAGAGAAUAGAAUGAUGGGUACCAGAGACUUGGAAGGGUGGGCGAGGGCAAGAGGAGAAUAAAGAGAGGUUGGUUACAGGCAUAAAGAUAUCAUUAGAUAGAAGAAAUAAGUUCUAGUGUUUUGAUAGCAGACUAGAAUGACUAUACUUAGCAAUAAUAUUAUGUAUAUUUCAAAGUAACUAGAAGAGAGGAACUUGCAAUGAUAUCAGUGUAAAAAAAUAAUAAACACCCAAGUUAAUGGAUACCCCAAAUACCUUGAUUUGGUCAUUACAUAUUCUAUGCAUGUAACAAACACUCACAUGUACUCCCAUAAAUAUGUAAAAUAUUGUCUAUCAAUACAAUAGAAAAUAUAGAUAUAUAAAAUUUUCAAAAAUAAUUCCUGGAGGUGUAAGUCUUCAGUUCAAGCUGUAGAAUUUUUAAAUGUAAUUGAUAUAUAUUGUCAAAUAGAACCCUAGUAAAUUUGUGACAAUUAACCCAUCUGCAAAAAUAUAAGAUUAAAGUGCCUCUCUCAAAGCAUCACCAUUAUUAUUCACAAAUCUUUGCUAAUUUGGAAGGCUAAAUUUAAAAAAUAGUUCAUCAAUCUUUUAAUUUGCAUUUCUUUGAUUUUUAGUGAAACUGUACAUUUUUAUAUGUUGAAUGAUCAUUUAUGUAUAUUUUAUUUUAUGAAUUUUUUAUUUUCCCCAUUUUGUAUUUAAAUGUUUGGGCUAUUUUUGUUUUUAUUUUUCCCCAAUAUAUCUUAAAAAUAGCAAUAAUAUAUUUAUCUACAAAAAUGGAUACUUCUGAAUAUACUUGCCAUAAAAUUAUUUUAAUUUUAAUUAAAGCUAAUUAAGGGUAAUUGACCAUAAAGCAACAUUUCACUGUCUGCUAGAAAAUUUCUAUAAAACUAUAAAAUUCAACUCCAGCAGGAAAAACUUGAAAUUUUCUUUCAAAAGCUAUAAAUCUUAUGUAACUAAAAUACAAUGACUAUCUUUAAAGAAUUUGUACUUAAACAAGAAGUUGUUAAUUCAAACUUUAUUCUCAACAGAAGCAACUUAUUAUAUUACCGAAUAGUGUCCUCUUCCCAGUUCCAGCACUGCAAGCCAUUACUCAAUUGUGGAAAUAACACUGAAUUUGUAGCUCAAAACAAACAAACAAACAAACAAAAAAAUUGAAAUGCUGACUAUGUUGCUAUCUAGCUGGGUGAUUUGGAAAAGUCUUUUGUCUUUUUAUGAGCCUUAUUUUUCUCAUUUAUUAAAUGAUAAAGUUGUAUAAAGUUGGUAUUCUAUUUCAGUUAUCCGCUUUGUGUUCAUAAUAUAUUUUUUUUUUGAGAUGGAGUCUUGCUCUGUCACCCAGGGUGGAGUGCAGUGGCACAAUCUUGGCUCACUGCAACAACCUCUGCCUCCCAGGUUCAAAAGAUUCUGCUGCCUCAGCCUCCGAAGUAGCUGGGAUUACAGGUGCUUGCCAUCACACCUGGCUAAUUUUUUGUAUUUUUAGUAGAGACAGGGUUUUGCCAUGUUGGCCAGGCUGGUCUUGAACUGCUGGCCUCAGGUGAUCCACCUGUCUCAGCCUCCCAAAGUGCUGGGAUUACAGGCGUGAGCCACCGCACCCGGCCCAUACUACUUUUAUAGUUUUAUAUAACUAUGUGUUUUUUUAAUUAUCUGUUUACUCUCUUCCCUACAAGAAUCUCAGAUCCACCUGAGUAGGAAAUUUGGUUUACUGCUUAUCCCUAGCCCUAGAAGAUGGCUAGCACAUAGUGAGUGUGCCAUCAAAAAAUUUCUAAAGAAUUGCCUGUCUGUUGUGUGCUAAGUACUAGGAUUUGAUGAUGACUAAAAUCCAUGCUCCUAAGGAAUUUACAAUCCAAUGGACAAAUUUGUGAGUGAAAACACCAAAAUAAUAUUUGCAGAGGAAAAUAUAUAUUCCAUAAAAUAUAUUGACUCAAAUAAUGACAACUUGAGCAAUGCAUGGUAAUAGCGAGUUUUUGUUGUUGUUUUGUCAGUUUGUUUACUUUGGUGUGGUAAGACAGAACUUGUGCCAUGUCUUGUAUUUGAAAAAGAAAGUCAUUGGUAGCUUGAUGGGGAUGGCAUUGAAUCUGUAAA
rnacentral:lncRNA from 1 species